rnacentral:rRNA from 1 species
ACUAGCAUAUCAAUAAGCGGAGGAAAAGAAACCAACAGGGAUUGCCCUAGUAACGGCGAGUGAAGCGGCAACAGCUCAAAUUUGAAAUCUGGCGUCUUUGGCGUCCGAGUUGUAAUUUGCAGAGGGCGCUUUGGCAUUGGCAGCGGUCCAAGUUCCUUGGAACAGGACGUCACAGAGGGUGAGAAUCCCGUACGUGGUCGCUAGCCUUUACCGUGUAAAGCCCCUUCGACGAGUCGAGUUGUUUGGGAAUGCAGCUCUAAAUGGGAGGUAAAUUUCUUCUAAAGCUAAAUACUGGCCAGAGACCGAUAGCGCACAAGUAGAGUGAUCGAAAGAUGAAAAGCACUUUGGAAAGAGAGUUAAAAAGCACGUGAAAUUGUUGAAAGGGAAGCGCUUGCAGCCAGACUUGCCUGUAGUUGCUCAUCCGGGUUUUUACCCGGUGCACUCUUCUAUGGGCAGGCCAGCAUCAGUUUGGGCGGUUGGAUAAAGGUCUCUGUCACGUACCUCCUCUCGGGGAGAACUUAUAGGGGAGACGUAAUGCAACCAGCCUGGACUGAGGUCCGCGCAUCUGCUAGGAUGCUGGCGUAAUGGCUGUAAGCGGCCCGUCUUGAAACACGGACCAAGGAGUCUAACAUCUAUGCGAGUGUUUGGGUGUCAAGCCCGAGCGCGUAAUGAAAGUGAACGGAGGUGGGAACCUUUCGGGGUGCACCAUCGACCGAUCCUGAUGUCUUCGGAUGGAUUUGAGUAAGAGCAUAGCUGUUGGGACCCGAAAGAUGGUGAACUAUGCUUGAAUAGGGUGAAGCCAGAGGAAACUCUGGUGGAGGCUCGCAGCGGUUCUGACGUGCAAAUCGAUCGUCAAAUUUGGGCAUAGGGGCGAAAGA